rnacentral:rRNA from 1 species
GACGAACGCUGGCGGCGUGCCUAAUACAUGCAAGUAGAACGCUGAAGGAGGAGCUUACUUCUCUGGAUGAGUUGCGAACGGGUGAGUAACGCGUAGGUAACCUGCCUGGUAGCGGGGGAUAACUAUUGGAAACGAUAGCUAAUACCGCAUAAGAGUAGAUGAUGCAUGACAUUUACUUAAAAGGUGCAAUUGCACCACUACCAGAUGGACCUGCGUUGUAUUAGCUAGUUGGUGGGGUAACGGCUUACCAAGGCGACGAUACAUAGCCGACCUGAGAGGGUGAUCGGCCACGCUGGGACUGAGACAAGGCCCAGACUCCUACGGGAGGCAGCAGUAGGGAAUCUUCGGCAAUGGACGGAAGUCUGACCGGGCAACGCCGCGUGAGUGAAGAAGGUUUUCGGAUCGUAAAGCUCUGUUGUAAGAGAAGAACGAGUGUGAGAGUGGAAAGUUCACACUGUGACGGUAUCUUACCAGAAAGGGACGGCUAACUACGUGCCAGCCGCCGCCGUAA